rnacentral:tRNA from 1 species
UCCUUCGUGGCACAAGUGGUUAGUGCGUUCGGCUGUUAACCGAAAGGUUGGUGGUUCGAGCCCACCAGGGGGCG